CGGCCCUUUGUUUCGCUGCUGCCCACGCUCCCGCGAGUGGCCGCCCAGGGCUGGGAGGAUCCCUGCUUCCUCCCUGCAGCAUCCUCCCACCCUCUGGUCAGGAGGAAGCAACCGAGGCUUAGGAGGUCCAGGAGACACCGAAAGUGGCAAGAACCGGCUUUGAGUUACAACAUUCUCCCCAGAGGCAGAACGACGCUGGAGCAGAACCAAGUAUAUUGAGAAGGCUGUGGUAGUGUUUCAGGCAUCUUCCUAUGCCAAGUGGUUCCAGCAGUCUGGGUGCUUCUCUUUGACAAAGACUUGGGUAGUGGAUUGUUGAGAGUCCUCUUGGUGGGCGCAUCUGAAAGGUAAGG